rnacentral:lncRNA from 1 species
AAUUAUUCAGAAGAUACAGCUAAGAUAAUUGAUAUCCCUCAUCAGUUGGCAGCCAUCAACAUCAAGGCAAGAUCUACCAGCAAAAAAAUUAAAAUUCACUAAAAGUUCAGGUGAUUUUUAGCAUAUUUUAGCAAUAAAGUAUUUUUAAAUUAAGGUAUAUACAUUGGUUUUUUGUUAGUCACAAUGCUAUUGCACUCUUAGUAGACAACAGUGUAGUGUUAAGCAUAACUUUUGUAUGUACUAGGAGAUCAGAAAAUUCAUGUGGCUCGCUUUAUUGUAGCCAUUAUUAGACCUGCAACAAGAUCCUAUUAUUGAGUGAAUACAGAAGCACAUUUGUCAUAAUUUUGCUUUUGAACCGUUUGAAAACUGGAUUUCAGUAUAGUUUCUUUUUUUCUAGUAAUUUGAGUAUUUUCAGUGUUAAAAAGGUAUUCUGAGAUAAGAUCCAGAUGCAUAGGGACACCUUCUGUAGAAAAGAUUGGGACUCCUUGAUAACAGAAGAUCUGAUAUUGUGUAAAAAAAAAAAAAAGAUUGGGAACCCUUACUUUUACGUUCUUCUGAGGUACCACCACCCAUGUAUCCUGAGCACUCCUAUUUCUUGCUACAAUGCAGUUCUUUCCCUUCACUCUUCCUUUCAUCUGCUCAAACUACUUGCAGAGACUCAACUGCAGCCAAUGUACUCCACUCAAAAUCCAAGGAGUUCUGAUUGGUGGGGUUUUCUUUCAGCUGCAUUCAUGUGUCGGUCAAGGCAGACGGCAG